rnacentral:rRNA from 1 species
AAUUCUGGACAAUGGGGGAAACCCUGAUCCAGCCAUCCCGCGUGUAUGAUGAACGCCNNNGGGUUNUAAAGUACUUUUGGUAGNGAUNUAAAGGCAUCCCCUAAUACGGGAUGCUGCUGACGGUACCUGCUGAAUAAGCACCGGCUAACUACGUGCCAGCAUCCGCGGUAAUACGUAGGGUGCAAGCGUUAAUCGGAAUUACUGGGCGUUAAGCGUGUGUAGGCGGUUCGGAAAGAAAGAUGUGAAAUCCCAGGGCUCAACCUUGGAACUGCAUUUUUAACUGCCGAGCUAGAGUAUGUCAGAGGGGGGUAGAAUUCCACGUGUAGCAGUGAAAUGCGUAGAUAUGUGGAGGAAUACCGAUGGCGAAGGCAGCCCCCUGGGAUAAUACUGACGCUCAGACACGAAAGCGUGGGGAGCAAACAGG